GUUGUAAAGGGAUCAAACAUGAAUUUUGUCAUAAGUAUAAAUGCAAAUAGCAAAUUAUCAAAAUAUGUUGAAAAACUCUUGUUUUCAAACUGGCCACCAUUCAUUAUAGCCACCAGCACUACAAUAUAUGAAGUCCUCAUAUGCUAGUCUUUGUCAUAAGGGAUUUAUGUACCAAAGUUAAUCUAAAUUGGUAAAGCCAUUUUUUUUAUAUGCUUUCUGUUGGUUUUAUGGCCGCCAAGAACAGCCAUUUUGAUUUUCUGAAUUGGGUUCAUAGCUAUGAAUGUUAAAUAUGACAUUAACUAACAUUCUGCAAAGUUUGAUGCUUUUACCGCAAUCUAAACAAUUGUUUCACAAAUCGACUGGAGUAAUUAUUCAACACACAUGUGAAUAAUUUUAAUAAAACAGAACCGUAAUACCCCUGUAAUUAUCAGGACUUGCAGAGUAUAUAUUGGUACAAUAAUACCGUCAGACCAAGAGUCCGGUAUACACUCCGAUUCAAAAACAGUAUUAAACAAAGCAAAAAAACAGGUAACAUUUUAUCAGCAGAAUGCUUCGAAAAU
rnacentral:lncRNA from 1 species